rnacentral:lncRNA from 1 species
UUUUUUUUUUUGGGUGUGUGAGAUGCGGGAGUGAGGAUGGGAACCGGCAGUUUCAAAUUUCUCUCCCCAAUGGUUGGUGGCAAUGUUAUGCUUCGUUUUUUAGGCUGCUUUCGUGUUCCUGUGACUCUUUUUUUAGCCCGGAGGGGCUCCAAUUGCUCUCUGAUCUCUAGGUUUCGAGGGUUGCUGAGCAGUUAGUAAAAUGUGCGAGUGUAAGCGUGAGGUACGGGCGUGAUGCUGCUCAGCUCAAAUACUCUGAUCGUUUAGUUUUGGUUGGUUGGUUUUUAAUCAGUUAAUUCUAUUUCGGUACAUUUCUGAAUCGAACUAGUGUUGAUUUGGGCAGUUAAGCACCAACUGUUAGAUGAGCACAGAUUGGAUGCUAAUGUGGAUAAACUGGUUGUUUUCGGAGCUCAAAUUUGUCAUUCUCUUAAUGAAUGCACCAAUUUUAUUACCUCUUAGGUGUAUGUGUGUCUGAUCUCUCAUAUGAGUUCAUGUGUGUUUUGUGUUACAGACAGGUAAGGAAUGGGAGGGGAAACUACAGGAAACACGGUCUCCGUUGCCCCGGUGGAGAAGGCACUGUCCCUCUCCCUGUACGUUUUCCUGUGAGAUCCCUGCUAAUUUGUUCACGGAGCUGUAUCUUGUGAGAGCAUUACACUACCAUGACGAAGUCCAGUGCGGUUACUUCGAAGGGCAAGGCCGCAUUUGAGCUGAAGCACAGGCUGGUCCAAGCUGUUAACAAGAUUGCUGACAGAGACACAUACCAGAUUGGAUUGGAUGAGCUCGAGAAGAUGGCGGAUACCCUGGCCCCUGACAUGAUCGGUCCCUUCUUGUCAUGUGUGAUUGACACUGAUGCUGAGCAGAAGAGUGCAGUGCGCAAGGAGUGCAUCAAGGUGAUUGGCACACUGGCACGCUUGCAUGGGAACCUACUGGCACCACACAUGGCGAAAAUGGUGUCCAGCAUCGUUAAGCGCCUGAAGGACACCGACUCAGUUGUUAGAGAUGCAUGUGUUGACACUUGUGGUACCCUUGCAAUGUGCGCCAGAAGUUAUGGGGAUGGUGGUGCGGCAUUGGUGGCAUUGGUGCGCCCCCUGUUUGAAUCACUGGGUGAACAGAAUAGAUAUGUUCAGGCUGGGGCAGCAUUGUGCUUGGCCAAGGUUAUAGAUGAGAGCAAUUACUUCCCUGGACCUGUUCUCCCGCAGAUGCUUGUCCGUGUUGUUAAGCUGCUCAAGAAUCCCCAUUUCAUGGCAAAGCCCGCAGCGAUUGAAUUGAUAAGAAGCAUUGUUCAGGUUUGCACUCUUGUUUUUGUGUAAGCAAUGCCAUCCCACUAUUGAUAUACUUUUUUAUGUCUACAGAUUACCUUGUUUAUCUGACCUUGUAAUUAGUACCAUGAGAAAGUAGCAUUCUUCUGUGCAACCAUAUAUGUUCUUUAUUCAAUGGUUGCUUAGUUAGUUUGCCAUAGAAAUACUGCAAUCUUCCUACAAAGUCAAAUGUUUUUAUUGCUCCUUCGAGUCUAGAUCAUGCAUCUGAUUACUAGGUUGAUUUGUAUUUAUAUGCUGUAUAAAUUCCGCAAGACUUCUUAAUAUCUUUCAAGGACUAGAGUAAUAAACAUCAUCUUCAACUUGGUUCCACUUCUUGUAACUACCAGUAAGAUCUUACAUUAUGUUAGUGUACUUAUUUUGCUUUGCUCCCCAUUUUCAGGCUGAAGGUGCUUCCACAGAGCAGGCGUUAUCAUCAGCUCUAACAAGUAUUAUGGAUGCACUUAAGAGUAGCGACUGGAAUACAAGGAAGGCUGCCUCUCUUGCUCUUUCAAGUAUUGCUGUCAGUUCUGGGUAUUUGGUUGCCUCUUUCAGAACUUCCUGCCUUCGCUCCCUUGAGCGUAGUAAAUUUGAUAAGGUAUUUUUAUCCCUACUCUCCGUUGUACCUGGAGAAUUUUUUUUCCUAGAAUACGCAGGAGAACUGCGCAUCAUUCAAUUAAGAGGAAGGUAAAAACGAUGUUUGUACAACGCGGGCCAUUAACCGGGCACUCGCACACGGUAGUGGAAAUAGACAGAGAUUACAUUUGUUAAAAGGGGGCGUCUACUAGCAGAAUUUAAGACAUAGAAAUCGCAACGCUAGCUAACGAUCAGGAGGCUUCCAACCAAAAGCUUCUAUGUUUCGGGCACCACUUUGAGCCCAAAGCGACAUAUUUUUCUAAUGACUUACUGACUUCAUGCCUCCUAUUAUAGGUAAAACCAGUUCGUGAUGCCAUUAUACACGCAAUUCAGCUGUGGAAAGCUAUUCCAGGGUCUCAUACUCCUGAACCAUCGGAAGCUGGAUCAUCAACAAAAGGUACAGAAGAUGUUCCUUUAAUUCACAUUUAGCAGUCGAUAUGGGCAAAACAGUUAUAACACUGUUUUGUUUUUGGCUUCUUUCAAAUCCGCUAAUCCUUAUCUUAUUUUAAAUCAAAAGUUAGCAUACAUAUAUCUUACUUGUUCUAUUCACCUCAUUAAGAAAUUUGUUUGAUUACCAAAAUAAUUAAGCUAAUCAGAACCCACCUGAUGUUCUAUAUGUAAGCACCUCUCUUGUUUGUCAACUCUUCCAGGAUUUUAUGCAUCUUAACUCUGGAAUCUUCAACCAAAAGAAUCAAAUAACUAUAAAAGUACUCUAGGUGCCAAGGUAGCAAUGCUAAUGAUCUUCGUAGAUUUCUUCUUGGAUCAUGGCUAACUAUAAACAAUUAUGGAUGGCAACCUUUUCUUUGUGAGUUCUAUUUUUCAUAUUUAUUGUGUGCUUAAAUGAUCAUCCAAGAAUACCACAAUACCAUGUUACUGCCUUCUUAUGGUCUGUGCUUAACGUGUGAUGCUGCUAGCUAAUUAAGAUCCUUCUACAAAAUUAUUUGUUACAUGACCUCUGCAUUAUUUCUAGCUUUUGUCUUUCGUUAACCACAACCAUAUAAUCAGCUUAUUUUCUAUUGCCUAUCAUUUUUUUCUCACAGAGAACUUCUUUGGUGACCAUCAUGAUGCCAGAAGUAUACAUGAUGGUGGAUCACGAGAUACUUCUUUUAGGAGAACAGAUCAUGGGCCUUCCGUAUCUGUUACCAGUGGCAGUUCUAUCACUUCAGCAAAGAGGAGAUCCCCUUUGUCAAUCAACAAAAUAGCCCUAAACAAUGCUGCAAAUAUGCAUCGCUUGAAGUCUGGUGAUUGGCGUGUUGAGGUGUCAGUUCCAAAGCAGAAUAUGAUGCCAUUGGUUGAUAUUGAUGAGAAGGGGUCCAGUAAAGUCUGCAUCCUAAAAGAUGCAAAGAGAAAUGCAUAUGAAAUCGCUGAUGAAGACAGUAAGUUUGACUAUGACAUCUUGGAUGAUAAACAAGAAUGCUCCUCUGUGUCAGAAGUAGCCAGCAGGAGUUGUGAGACAAAGCAUGUCACUACUGCUCAGGAAUGUAUUGAAGAUUGUGAAUCGACACAAGUCACUGAACGAUGUCCUAGGGGUCAAGAGAGUAAGAGCAUAGAUUCAACAGUUACAGAUGUUACUGCACAUGGCACACAUAGUUGUUGUCUAAAUACCAUGAAUGAAUUGGCACUCAUUAGGAAGCAACUUCAAGAGAUGGAAAGGAAGCAAGCAAAUCUUUUUGACUUGUUGCAGGUAAUUAUCAUGUUUUGAGUAGUGAAGAUCUUGCCGAUUUGUUGUGUCUAUAUACUACAUUUACCUAAUAUGGUGUAAGCGUACAUAUUGAGUAGUGUGAUAAUGGUGUAAGUUAUAAUGCAAGGCUAUGAUUCCAGUCAUAGGAUGUAUAAUAUCUUUUAUUAACUCGCAGUUCAGCACUGUGCACUUUAUAUUCUUGUACUCCCUCCGUUUCAAAUUGUAGAUCGUUUUAGCUUUUCUAGGUUCAUAGAUGUUUGUAUGCAUCUAGACAUACACUAUAUUUAGAUGCAUACAAACAUCCAUGAACAUGGAAAAGUUAAAAUGACCUACAAUUUGGGACAGAGGGAGUAGUAGCCUACUAUAUUGUUAUGCUUCUUGAUUAUUUUUGAUUUUCAAUUUGGGACAGAGGGAGUAGUAGCCUACUAUAUUGUUAUAUGCUUCUUGAUUAUUUAUGAUUUUGUUGAACACUGGCACCCCUGAGCUGUGAAUCUGUCAUCUUAUUUUGGCAUUUUGCUUUCUGCAAACUCUGUAAGGAUGGCAAUGCAUAAUGACCAUAAGGAUAGUUAUCUUCAAAUUCUGUCAAUUUUUUUCCUAUCAUUGUGUGUCUGCAUCAUAUAGGCCAUGUGGCAUAUGCAAGUACAUAUGAAGACAUCAUGUAUGCAAUAUAAAGAAGUGGAUUCAUAUCUUUUGUCAAAUGCUCACUUCCCCCAGUUAAUUGUAGGAAUUCAUGUCCACCUCUGUGGAGAACAUGACGGUGCUAAAUUUGAAGGUGCACAAUUUGGAGAAUGCUGUAGACAAAACUGUGUAUACAAUCACUCAGAGUGAAAGCCGGUAUCAUCUUCCUGGUUCCAAGUUUUUUAAGAACCAAAGUGUUUCUUCUUCACCCAGGCUUUCUACUUCUACACCUAGAUCAUCUGUGGAUGCUAACUACAAGCCACCACCAAUUUCACACUUGAAACAUGAGAAGAAGUGGAUGCAUGAUCUACCAUCUAAGGGCUCAAACGUGUGCACUAAAGAGGGAGCUGAAUUUCCGAAGGAUCAUGUUCGCAGCAGAUUUAGGAAGCCUGAGACUGUGAGCUCAGAGAGUAACUUGGGAAGAUAUGUUCCAAGCUCAGCGAGAAGUCAAGCAUCAAUGGUUAAAGGGGCUUUGCCAGUUUCAUUUACCAGUUCCUGUGAGCAACCUGAAAUGCAAAAUGCAUUAUGUGCAUCUAACCAGUCUGGUGAAUUUCAAGGUACUGGCGAAAUCGAGCCUGCAUACAUGGAGGCCCUAAACUGUGGUGAUUAUGAUGAUCUGAUUGACCUAAUGGAUAGAACUGGACCAGUUCUUGAGAAGUUGUCGUGUGAGACAGCAAAUGAACUUCUAAGGGUUAUAACUUGCCAAUUUCUUAAUAAAAAGUUUUUUGACUUAGCCCUGCCUUGGCUUCAACAAGUAAGUCCACUAGAUUUUUUUUUACAGUAAUGCCCAAGUCUGAAAAGCUUGUGCAACUUACUCAGUCCAAAUUUGGAUUGCUUGUAUUGCUUCAGUUAGCAGAUUUAAGCACGAUCUAUAAGCCAGGCCAACUUUUUGCAUCUGUGAGAGCACAAAAGGAGUUUCUUUCUGCAUUGGAGGAAGUUGCAACAAGUGGAUCUACAGAACCAGCCAUUAGGAUUGCCAUUGCACAGCUUGCAUUUAAACUGACCAAAGCUUUUGAGGUUGGCCCAUGCAGGUAAUCUUCAUUGCGCAUUGACAGUGUCUCAUCAGUUCUACUACAUGUGAACUUCUUGUAAUACUGACAUAUCCAUUCUGGUUCUGCAGGAAAAUUUCAACUAGAGUACGCAGAGGAAAUGAAACUAUCAUGGCCACUGCAAUGUGAGAUAUUCCUCGCAAAUUGCAAUGAUGUAAUCUAGUGUAUGCUCAGGGCACGAAGCAGUGCUCUUUUUUAGAUGAAGGACAAAGCAAUGCUUUAGUGAGCUCAAUUUCUUUUUCUUGUAGCUCUACAACCUUUAUGAUGCUGUAUCUGUUUGAUUAGUGUGUGAAAGACUCAAAGGUUUCUGCAGAACGAUUGAUAGUUUGCUAGUUGAAAACAUGUGUGUUUUAGCUCUGUACUGUAGUUCUGGAAUUUGCAUUUUGCCAUUUGGCAUGACUUAAGAGUUAUGAGUAUAUGCUUGAUGCUGACAAGGUCCUACAGAUGUUGUUGGUGUUUUAUACCCAGACCCCUCGGUAGUAGAUUGGUUGGUGGGGGAUCGUCGGAUGUGGAACUCGAAAGUAAAAGUGAGGACACAAGACAUGGAUUUAUAUAGGUUCAAGCCGUCAGAGUAGCGUAAUACCCUACGUCCUGUUUGGAAUGUUGUAUCUGGUAUUCUGUUGUGGUAUUGUGGUUCUAUGAGGUCUUGAUCUACAGAUCUAGGGACCUCUGCCUUCCUUUAUAUACUUCAGGGGGUGGGAUUACUAGUCGGUUACAAGAAGGAAUUCUAGUAGGAUUACAUGGUACAAGUCAUAGUACGAUUACAUAGGAAUUCUAGUAGGAGUCCGUCUUCUUCCUUCCUUGUGAGUACUGGGGGUCUAUCUCCUAUCGAUGUUUCUUAAUCAUCUAUCACCUAGAAAUUCUAUUUACCUGCAUUUCACUGUCCACAGCAUCGGAUCUGUGUGCUUUACAUAUAAAAUAAUAAAAACAAGGGGUAGAAGAAUUCGGUACCAUUGCUAUAUCACUACUCACUACAAGAACAGUACCUUCUUUAAAUUAACCAACUUGUUUGUUGUCACACUAUAUCACUACUCACUACAAGAACAGUACCUUCUCUAAAUUAACAAACUUGUUUGUUGUCACACUGUUUGAGCAAUCAGACUAUGUAGUAAAGCCUUUUUCUUUUGUACAAUGGCAUCACAAGAGCUGCACAUCUAGGUUCUGUUUCAAAGUUUCAGCAAUAGGACGGCAACAAGAUGGACGCACAAGCAGAAGCAUCACCAAUCAGAGUCGUCAGUUCGCUGUGAGAUGCUGCGGAGGCCGCCCAUCCUCCUGUUGCUGGUGGUACGCUGGACACAUUGGAGCAGCGAUUGCACCACCUCUGAUAUGGACGGCCGGAAUUCUGGAUCGGACUGCAACACCACCACAAAACCAAUGUUCAGAGUUUCAGAGUUAAAGUUUGUUUUCAGGUGAUUCAUGGCCUUCAGCGUUGAAGCCGAAAGGAUUCAUCACCGAAGGAGGACCCUCUCUGCGUAUUUCGAUCAGUUCACCUGAACACAGCGACCGAGGACAUCGGCGAAGCGGGAGAGUGCUUUAGGCGGAUACAGGCCACGCAGAGCAGGAUCUGCCAGAGCUCCCAAGGCGUCGAUGUCAUGAAGCUGUGGAGUGACAAAAUUGACCAAGGACUGCUCCGUUCUAGGCUUUGAGCUGGAGUCACAAAGAACAUCAGAGGAUUAACUGCAGUCACGCUCCUGAGCAUUGCUGACAAACGCAAUGUUCCGUAGGCAAGCUUUGCCUGCCCCGGAAUCACAAAAUGUGGAGUCCAAAGUGGAAGGAGUUUUUUUUUUUCCAAUUACCUAUCGUAGGGCUUCCGACCGGUCAAUAGCUGAAGCAUGACGACACCGAAGCAGUACACAUCGCUCUUCAUAACGUAACCUGAUGACCUUGUGCACUCUGGAGGAUUGUACCCUGGUCCCAGGCUCUCACUUGUAUCCUGCAGUUGAUAUCACAUUGCCUUUACCAUCAUACUUUGUUCAUCAAAUGCAAGAAGAGACAGUCUGCAAACCUCAUAGAAGUAUGCAAGGCCACAGUCGGUGAGGCGAGGGUUAAGGUCAGCAUCAAGCAACACAUUAGAUGCCUUUAUGUUCUUGUGGAUCACUGAUGGUGAGCAGGCUUCAUGUAGGUACCUGAACAACAAGGAAUAUUAACACCUUUCUUAUGAACUCUGAACAUCACACCCCUCUGUGCCUGACGAUGUUUACAAAAUUCUGGAUCUAGGCUUAAAUGUUGCUUGUCAACUUACUCCAGAGCACUAGCUGUACCAAUAGCGAUCCGCACUCGGGUGUCCCAGGUCAGUGGCUUGCUGUAAUCAUCAGACAAGUGCAGGAAGUCAUAGAUGGAUCCAUUCAUGUGGUAAUCAUAGACCAGCAUGUAGUGCCCAGGCUCUGAGCAAUAACCAACAAGCUCAGAGAUGUUUGGAUGGCGCAGCUUGGAAAUGCUGUUCACGAGAUCCAUGAAGUCGCUGCUUCCUGAGAAGCUCAAAGGAUCAAACUUCUUAACGACCAGCACCUGAAAUUCUUUUAUGAGAGACGAUAAGGACAACGGGAAUGCAAGGCAUACGAUCAAUACAGAGUGCCAACUCAAGAUCUUACUGCAGAACAUAUUUGAUGCCUAUUAUAAGAGUGGUACAUGAUACUAGUAUUAUUGGGAACAGCUGAUGAGUAGCUUAAAACAUAUUUGGACAUGAUAUAAAUUUUUAAAUUUUAGAUGCAGAAGAAUACUGAAGUUGUAUCUGCAAACAAGUUCCUUUGGCAUGGGUUUAAGAAGCAACAGUAAGAUCUUACCCUUCCAUCAGCAUAUUUUGCCUUGUAAACGCCACCAAUUAUCCCCUGACCUAGUAGCCUGGUACUAUGGAAGUUUCCAGUGGCUGCUUGCAGGUCUAACGAUGAAUAAGUCACAAGGUUGAUUGGGUCUGUGCUCCGCCUCGAAUGGUUUAGUUUGUUCUCGAACUCAUUGUCACUAAUCGACUUGCGAGGCAUUGCGGAUGGUGUCCUACUGCUUAUUGACGUAGAACGCUCCAGUGGCUUCAUGUUGACCGCUGAAGAUUCCUUUUGAACUGUAGAAAAUAAAACAAUGUGAACUAUUACAAUAAAUGUGAAAGUGUUCAUCCCUGAGAUGCCACAGAAAUCAUAUGGGAAGGAGGCCUUUCUUGAUUCAUCAUGAUUUAAUGAUGGACGCAAGGCAUAACUGUGUAAUUUUCUACUUAUAAACAUAUCAUGCACAUAAGUACCUCUGCCGUCAUCAACUAGCGGGGCAAAUGAUCUGUUGUGACCAGACUCGUCCAUGAUGUAAUGAGAUGAGGCAGGAGAGGAAUGAUUCCUCUUCAACACAGACAAGAGAAUCAGAGCUGCAAGAAGCACCCCUAUAACUAUAGCUCCGAUAAGGAGACCAUUUACUCCACUGCCACUCCCUCCACCUGAAGAGCUUCCGAGUGCAGAGCCCUUCUCCAUACCAGGGGGAGCUGAUCCAGAUGACCACUGAUUCCCUCCAAUCCUUCAGAAAGAUUCAAGGACUGUUAGAAUUCAUCAAGUGCAACAAAUAGGAUUAUAUUGGCUGGAAUUACUACUUACUGUAGAUUGUUAAUGUCUUUUAGUUUACUGGGGAUCCACCCGGUAAACUUGUUGUUCUGCAGAUUCCUUGAGCACAAAGGGGAAACCAUUAUAGCUUAGUUCUCAGAAAGACAAGUGUAUUUCAGUAAAUAUGCACAGUAUAAGUAUCCAUUACAUGCUUAAAAACUGGCAAUAGGGUUUACAUCUGUUGGCAUUUCACAAUUAGUACUGUACUGCCAUGCACAGGCACCACCACACAAACGUUUGGGUCAUCAUAUCAAAAUUGGUUUUUAAUGCAAAUGUUUACUUUGAGAUAUACUUACAGAUCCUCAAGAGGAAGUUUGGCCAGAACAUCUAUAUGACCACUGAAUUGGUUGCUCUCCACAUUCCUGGAGACAUUUUUUUGAACGGAAUAACACUGAUUGUAGAUCUUAAAGAGCAUGCAAAUUACUAGGAUGUGUAAAUUUCAGUUUGCUUACAGUGUCUUGAGGUUUCUUAGGUGCUGAAAACUCUGGGGCAGGCUACCUGAGAAGCGGUUGAAUGAGAGAUCCCUGAUAAAACAGUUGACGUUAGUCAUACAGGCCAUGAAAAAUGGGAUAUAGAAAGCUUAGUGGCUUACUACAAUAACAUCUUAGCUAAUAGAAAAUAAGUUGCUGUUUUAAUUUCCGAGAACUUAUAAUUUGCUGUUUAACUUACAAUGUUGAUAGCUUUGGAAGCUGUGAAAACAUAUCUGUCAACUGCCCAUUUAGGUGAUUCUUGCCUACAUUUCUGUGGUUCAAUAAAAAAGGAAUUGGGGUGAUUAAUGCAAACAAAAAUAAUGAUGGUGUGAAGGGAACAGAACUAAGAAGAGCAGGAGAAUUGGAGUUCAUACAGUGUUUCCAGAUCUUCCAUCUGAGAUAUUGAAUAAGGAACUCCUCCAGUAAAAGAAUUUCCAUAAAGAUUUCUGCGUCGAAAAAAUAACAGGAGAGAAUGCUUGGAUCAGCCAUGAACCCAGGAAACUGUAAAUGGACGAGAAAAGUAGGAACUCACAAUUGAACCAUGUUUGGUGGAAGCUGGUACGGAAUAUCGCCGUUGAGAUUGUUAUUGCUCGCAUCGCUGUACUACGUAAAACAAGGAAAUUCAACUAAGUUGCAUAACUACGAUGACCAGUGCAGGAAAUCGCUAGGGCAACUCACAAUUUGGUUACUGAUUUCAAGCUUGAUAGCUGAUAGCCUAGUGUGCCGCUUAAUCCAAGCCCCGACAAGUUACUGCUCUAAGCAAUAUGGUUAUAAAAGAAAACUGAAGUGAGUAGGUUGCAUUGCUAGAAAAAAAAAGGUUCUUGGAACUUUACCAAUCAUCUUCCCUCUUUUGCCCAAACAUAUUAUUUUAGACAAAUGUUGAAGGCAACUACGUACAUUUCUGUCACAGAGGAGCCGCUGCAUUCUAUUCCCUUCCACUCCUCGUCACCACCACAGGGAUCGCCGCCGCUUGAUUUCCAACCGGACAAUUGAGAUGGCUUGUUCAUGCUAUUGAACAUCACAUUAAGCGCCGCAACUGAAAUAAUGAACCAAACAAUAUACAGAAUGUUCAGAACCAUGGCUGAUAUGAUGCAUUCACAGAGGGAAGAACAAGGGCUUGCCGACCCUCACCGUCAGGCUGGUCGGUCUUGGCCACUGCGGCCGCCGCCACGGAAAGGAGGACGGCCAGCCCGACGAACGGCGGCAGCGGUGGCAGGGGGCGCCGUCGCCGAGUCAUUGCGCGCCAAGGGGAGAACGGCGCGUCUCAGCUGAGAGCAAGCAGGAGGAGACCCCCACGCGCGCGUCGCCUGACCUCCUUCUCCUCUCUCUCAUGGACCGGUGGUGGGAAGGAGUGCUUUCCAAAAUUAGGAGACUGAGGAGGAAGAGAUGGCGAGCAGAAAUUGGAGGGAGGAAAGCGGGUGCGGCCAUUCAAGCUGCGAGAGUGGCGGGAAGCCGCUACUUUGAAGGCUCUACCUUAACGCGUCAAACCGUUUUCUGAUCAGGAAAACUAAAGAAGCCAUAUAUUUUACUAUCGUUCAACCUAAUAACAUCCGUUGUAGUCUAGCUGGUUAGGAUACUCGGCUCUCACCCGAGAGACCCGGGUUCGAGUCCCGGCAACGGAAUUUCUUUUUGUUUUGUUUACCACCAUUUUAUACCUUUGUUUUGUUUUAUAUCACCAUUUUAUGGAUGAACGGAUCAAGUAAACACUAGCAUUUUAUACCUUUGUUUUGUUUUAUAUCACCAUUUUAUAGAUGAACGGAUCAAGCAAACACUAGCAAUUUUGAAAGCAUAUUUAGAUGAGUUUUGUAACGUUUAAAGUUCAGACUACUACCACCUUAAGAGAACAAGAACACGUCUCAAAACAUUAGUGUACAUCUCUAUUGAAAUCAAUGUAGCCAGUUAACAAUCUCAUGCCUCCUUUACUCUUCCUUUCCCUUUGUAUCCUCCAUCAAAGAACUGGACAAAACAAUGAAUGGCCUCUGGGGCCUUGAUUCUGUAUGGUGUAUCCCUCCCGAGUCACAAAACUCAUCAGCUCUAUGCAGUAAUGUGGUCGCUUAACUUUCGACCACUUGUUUCCAGGGGGAAGUACGACACGGCGACACCGGAGACCAGCAUCACCGUGAUGAAUAUCACGAUGGCUGCCGUCUGGUGGCAUGCGUGAACCAGACCAACGGCCACAAGGGGGCAUAGGAUCCCACCAAAGCGAGCAAUUGAGCUUGCAAACCCGACACCAGUGGCCCUGACUGCAGUCGGAUAAAUCUGCAGGGAACAAAACAUAGGAAUGCAACGAUCUUCAGAGGUUUGACAAAAGAGACAAAAUAUAGGCUCUUAAAGAGUAACCAGACCUCAGGGGCGUAGAUGUGCAGAACAGUGAAGCUUGCUGAGAUGCAAACCCGUGCACCGAAUAAAAAGACGGUCGUCAGAGCUUCUGUCUGAGCAAACAUAAGUGGAGCUAUGCACAGGCAACUGAUGUAAAGCAUGGAAGACAUCGAGAGUUUGCGCCCAAACUUGUCCACGAUGGCAGCAGACAGAAGGAGGCCAGGGACCUCUGCAUCAUUGUUGGCUUACAUAUGAAUAAUUUCUACGACAUUGUUUCUGAAGAUGUUUUGUUGACUAUGGGCAAUAGCACACGUACCUCCAAAGCUGGUGAUGAAUACAUUUCUAUAGAGAUUUUCAUCAUUUAUGUGGGCUGUUGUGGUCACUUCUGCUCCGCCUUCUGAUCCACAAAUCCUAUUUCCAUGAUUCAGUUCUGAUGUUAGCAGAACAAGACCAUAGUAUAAGAAUGCAUGGCCAAGAAAGACAGUCCAAAGUAGAAGACUCGAUCUGAUUAAGUUCGGAGAUAGAAGCUUCAAAAUGGCAUUGAGACCUCCAAUCUCAGAUUUGCUAGCAAGAUCACCAGUAUUAUUUUUCUUAGUUGUUACCAAUUGUGCCGUUUCUGAGGAAUCCCCCAUCUCAUGAAGCUCUGUCCGAUGGCCAGAGACAAGUCGACCAGAGGGAAGAGUAACACGGUUCACUCGCGCCAUUGUUUCCAAAACAUGAACUGCUUCAGCUAUUCUACCCUUCAUGCAUAGAUAUCUUGGUGACUCCAGUGUCACUGGAUAGAAGAGUAGUAGAGCAAAUGAUGGCAACGAUGAAAGUGCCAGCAGCCACCUCCAGCCAAAAGCUGGCAUAACAGCCUGGAAAUUAAGCAGAUAAGUAAAGAAAAAUACAUGGAGAUUUCGGAAAUAGCAAUAGUCACAUCAAAAUGAACAUGCAUGUCAUUUCACCACUUAUGCCAGCAUAGUGCCAUUAGGUUAUAUACUAUAUAUAUUACCAUGGAUGCUAAUGUUCACUUCAUUAGAACUACGUAUGAGUGAAAGACCACAGCACAAUGACCUGAUUAAUUACACAAGAAGACCAAUGUGGUGGCUAAACUUGCCCAAAUAUGAAAGACAAGCAGUUUUACUGUUCCAUAGGAUUCAAUGGUAUAUACUACUCUUGAAUUACAAUUGAUGCAAUAAGGACAGCAGAAGAUAUUAUGGGCAAAGGGCACCUGGGCCCAGAAGGCCCAGCAGCCGUGGCCCACAAGGCCCUGUGGUACCAUUCACGCAUGAAACUUUAGCGUGCGCCAAUGGGUCAGCCUGCAGUUUUUUUCUCUCUCCCUCUCUUCUUUGUACACGCAGUGUUCAUCAAGCACCUUCCCCUUUCUCUUCCUUUGAUUCUCCUCCUAAUUCCCCAAUUCUAUCCUCUACUCUAUCCCCAGUCUGACCCAAAAAAAAAAAUCUAUCCCCAAUCCCCCUCCAGUAAUCCAAGACUCGAACAGAAGAACAUCUGCACGUGGAGCUGUAAUGUGCAUCCAGUGCCCACAGAUUAGCACACCUGCUAGCCUGAGCUGGUAGCUUGACAAGCCUAGUCAGCGUCGUUCAUUUGUUUGUGGCGCAUCAAUUUAUUUGAAUCAAGGACCCUCUCCACUCUUCCCUUCCCCUCAGCUCUCUUCUUUAAUCUUGUACUUGGACCAGUUCUAUUCGUAAUAAUGGAACAAUAUGCAGUUCUCUCGCGUGCUAGAGAAAAAAAGGACAUCUGCACUGAGCAGUCAAGAUGUCAUGCUAUGCAGCUAGAAUGUAACACCCACUGUAGCGUUUACACACAACCCCAAUAUUUCAGAACUAUCUGAUAUUACUUUCUGUUGAGCCAGCUAAAAAUAUCUCUCAAACAUCUAGUAUUAUACAUAAGGCAACUUGGAAACACUGAUCUUACUUUUGCUAAAGAUAUUAACUUACCCAAGCAAGAGAAGCUUCCAUUAUCGUGCCAACGGUCCAAAAUGCCGAGAACAUAACCAUCCAAGUUCCUCGGUUAGGAGCAGGGAUGAACUCUAGGAACCAAGAACCUAGAACUGGCCCACCACCCAGUCCGACCCCGACCAUAAAUCUCAGUACAAUCAAAGAUAAGUAAUUUGGAGCAAACGCGCUAAGAAGACCAGCCCCACCAGUUACAAUGGCUGUGAAGUUGAACCCAACCCUGUAGAGAAGUACAAAGGGUUAAUGAGACAAAAUUUACAUGUUGGAAAAUAGGAAACUGUCUCUGAUAAAAUGCAGAGAUGGGAAAAAACAGGGCAUUCAAGGAUUAGAACUAAAUCCAAAAACUUAAACAUGGAGCGGUAAAGUGCCUAGCUUAAGCUUCCUAGCAUGUCCUCCUACAAACAUCGCCAUGAAGACUGUCAUUGCAAUUUUUUAAGGUUAGAACACUCAAUAAAAUCUCAAUAGUCAAUGGAAAAAGGAUGUAAGGAACCUGCCUUCUUCCAUAGUUAUCCGAAACUAUGCCCCAAGCAUAUGCUCCUACAAGCAUCCCCACGAAGACAACACUUGUUAUAAGACUUUCUGCCUGUGCAGAAAGCUCCCACUCAGCUUGAACCGAUUGCCCAACAAAUGACAAAAGCAUCAUUUCCAUUGCUUCAGAGAUUUUAGCCAUCCCGGAGUAUGCAAGCACGAAGGCAUGGAAUUUUCCAAACCCCAUGAACACAAGUGCCUCAUCCACAGUAUAAGUAGAUACUCCAUCCUCCAUCUGAAAUAAGCAAGCAAAAAUGAAGAAAAUAUUCAUUCAUCGAGUUUUCACUUUCAAGCGCAAGGACAACAUAUCAAGUCAGAUGUGGGGAUAGGUGAUGUGGACUAAGCUUUGCGAAAAUAACUGAGGACCACAGUUUUACUGCUCACUGGUAAAUAACUCUCUCUAUAGUCUAUACAGAUCGAAUGAUAAACAUGAAGUAAAACUUUCCCUGUUGCAUAGCAUCUGAUAUUCACAGUGACAGAGAUCCUCAUCUUGAUCAACCUAGCACUGCUUCACAAAAACAGGGUAACAAUGUGGACCAAAUUAACUUCCGAAUAACCUAAACGUUCAGCACAUCAAAAUAAAGCAUAUUUCCAACUGAAGAACAAACAACUGGUCAACUGAACAACGUGUGUCCCCUACCCAGGGAGAGGAAAAAAGAAAAGAGAAAUCUGCACCACCGAAUCGGGGAAUAAAUUGCACCGAGGACUCCCAUUACCAAAUCAAGGACCAAUCCCCCAAAAACCAGCUAGUCGCAAAGAAUCCACUGAAUCACAGCAGUCCCGUACCGGAGAGGGAGAAACCAAAUCAAGAAUGGCAGCCCGCGCAGCGGAAGAGGGGCGGAUGGGAUCAGCGGACUCGCCAAUCUAGCAAGCAGGUCACGGGGAAGGCAUGAAUGGAGGGGCUGGAUCGCUAGGGCUAUGGAGAAGGGGUGAGAGGCGGGAUUGGUAGGUGAGGUGUACCUCGUCGGAGCCGGCGGCGUGACGAGCGCGGCGCCUCCGACUCUCCGGGAACGUAUCGAGGGCGGGGCGGCGACGACGGCGACGACUGACCGACUGACUGGGGCGGCCCACUUCUUUUAGAUAGGUCGCUUUACAUCUUAGUACCUCACGAACCGCUUAAUUUUUCGGUCCCCAUGUUAGAAGAGGCCCUUUUUUGUUGGAUUUCUUGGUGAGAGUUGGUGUAACAUCCACAAAUCUUGGGUCUCACACAAAGAAAAGGCUUACUCAAUCUCAGAAGAUAUAUGCAUUUUAUAAAUAUUUUUUAUUUGAGUAUGGCUAAUGAUUCAUAGUCAUUUAUGGAACCGAAUAUGUGUAGAGUAUAAAUACAUUUUCUCAUUAUAUAGCAAUAAAUGCAUUUUUUUAUAGGGUGUAUUUGGAUUUGAAUGAUUUGCUAAAGGGAUGGUUUGGCUAUUGCUUUACAAUAUAGUAUUGUUGGCUACAUAAUGAAUACGGAGUAUUGCGUAAAAAGAUCUAUGGGAUAUGAAUCUAUUGAUACACUUUUAAAUGCUAACAUACCUAUACGUACUUUGACCAAUUGCUGGAGAAGAUUUAGGAAGUUUGAUCCUUUUCAAAUCUUAAUACAGCCCAUAAAAAAGAAAAUGAGGUGUUAGUUGAUUUUUAUUAUUUGAACCGCGCGGUACAAAUAAUAGAUAUAUAGCGUUCUUCAAUUUUGGAAGACGAGAGAAAAUGCAAUGCAAGGACCUCUUGCCCGGCCCUGAAAAAUAAAGGCGAAACCAAAGCUUGCGUUUUGUGGUUUUUGCGAAGACCUCCUUCCUGCGUGCCGUUUGGAGCACGGGCCGGAUGUCAAUAAUCAACAGAGCGAAAGAUCGUUAGCAGUACGCUGUACUGGUCAUCGUCGUUGACUUGUCUUGCAAACCUUAUUAAUUUCCCCCACGAAAAUUUGCAGAAAAUCACAGAUCGUACGCAUUCCUGAUUGGAUGGCUAGUCAGCCACACGCGUAGUACGUCAGUUACCUGACGUUUGGACACUGGGCAAGCGCAAACCGGGUCACGCAUCGUCCGGCGCCCCCUCAACGUAACCCGGCCCAGCUCGCGGCGCAGCAGAGCGAAUCAAAUGGCUGGAGCACCGGCCGCAUCUGCCCCGGCCAGGUAACAGCUCCCUGGCGCACGCCGUUGGGCCUUCCUCUCCUGCUAUGUGUUUUCAGUUCCAGCUAGCGGCGCCGGCGCGCGCGGGUGAAUAGCAUUAGAAGACUAGAGUAUUAGAUGCGCCACGCCAUUUCCAUGACGCCAACCGAACCGAAAACCCAGUCGCUGGCCGCCUCAUCUUGCUCGCCACCGCGUUCGCACGGCAGCACGUAGAUAUAUAUAGCGCCGCGCCGUUGCUUGCUUGCAUUGCCCCCGGGCGAGCCUGCCGCACGCAGCCUAUGACGAAUAUCCAGGCGCCGGCCGGCUGAUCAAUUAGCUAAUAGUGACUGAUCGACCACCAUGUGGUCGUCGUCGUCGUCGACGACGACGACGUCGCGGCUGCUGCUCGUGGUGGGGGCGGCGGCGGCGUCGGGCGUGUGCUGCCUGGCGUUGGUGCUGGCGGUGGGCGGCGCGUGCACGGACGGCGGCGUCGUGGUGCAUGGUGGGCGGCCACGCCCACCGUCGUUGUCCUUGGUGGACUACUCCCUGGCGGCGGCCGCGCGCGUGAACGACUACCCUGCCGGCGUGGGCGGGGGCGGCGGCCGUGAUCUGGCCGGCGGUGCGGCGGCGGCGGCGGCGGAGCAAGACUACGGGUUCGUGGAUCCGACACCAGACACGCGCCGCCGCGGGGGAACCGCGCCGAUUCCACACAACUGACCAGUGAUCGACGAUCGGUCCACGGUGUACCGUAUAUAUAGGUAAACCGUAAACGUAUAGUAUAUAGCAGCUUCCUUCUUCCUCUGCAGUAUACGCUUAUACUGUACUCUAUGGCAAUGAUCAUGUGUACCGAGCAAGAAUAUACUUGUAGUCACUGCCGGCCGGCUCCUCUGCAUGUAUAUGUAAUCAUGCCAUGCAAAAAUAUUUACUCGCGGACGAUGACGAAAUGAAACGAUAGACCCGGCCCGGACAGAACUUUGCAUGAAUGAUCCCUAGUCGGCUAGUCCUAGCCCUAGGCCAUCCGUGCAGACGGGAAAUGGUGAGAGUGCGAGGCACAUGAGCAGGAGGUCCGGGUCUCCGGAGGCCGUCGAGCCGCUGUUGACGCACCCGGAGCUGUUGGCACGCUCCGGCGCCGACCAUGCUCGCCAAGUUACCAACACCAUCGCACAAUCCCGCCUCUGCGGUGCUCACCCGCAACAACGGCGCCUAGCCCGUCGACGAGCAAAUCGGUGAGGGGCUCACGAUUGUCCGCGACGUGUUCCCGGCUCCCCUGGGAUACGGCGGCUGCAGCCGCGCCGGGGCGGCUGGAUGCCGGCCGGGGACGCGCAGCAGAAGCGGCUCGCGUUCCAGGCGUGCGCUGCGACAUAACUCUAACAGACCGAGAUGUCGACACGGGACGAACCCACUGAGGUAGCCGCGGCGUGCUCUCAGUCUGAGGCGCCCCCGCACCAUGGCGUGCUCCGACCUCUGAGGCGCCCAGCAUGCGGGCGGCGCGCGGCGCGCUGCGGCCGCCGACCGGUGACCCGCGCGGACUUGGACGAGCGAGGAAAAGGUGGGAAGGGGCCCGUUUUGCGAUUGCACUCGUCGAUCUCGGCCACUCAAGUCCGAUCCACACGGUGAGUACAGAACCUAGGGGUGGACGGUAUUUGAUUAACCGUCCACCCCUGGGUGUUCCGCCGCCCGCCUGGCCACCAUCGUCGGUGGCAAAAUGACGCCGUCGCGACCUCCGCCACGUGAUAAUUAAAGCGCGGAGGAAGGAGGCCGUCGAGCCGUCGAGCUGCUAGGGUGGACGGUAUUUGAUUUACCGUCCACCUCUGGGUCUCGGCUCCCGGGCGCGCUCGCGUCGCUGGCGACCUCACCGGGCUCGUCGGCGAAAGCCACGCCUUCGUGGCCUUCGCCGCUAGCUCCGCGGGCGUUCUGCUGCACAUGGUCACGGAUGCGCUCGCCGGCGUGCUGUCCCGUGGACGUCGGCUCGGCCGUGUCGCGCCUUGUCAUCGCGGACGACGUCCAGGCGCUCCCGGACGCACUCGUCGAUUUGGUGUACGAUUUCAAGCAAGAAAAAAGUAGUGAAGAACCGAUUCCUUUGUUAAAUCAACAGAAUAAUCAUCAUACCAUAUCAUUGAUAACUUGCAUGUGCAUUACAUUUGUUUUCCUCUUAGUCGAUCACUCGAUCUACGAGACCAAGAAACAGUUACGAGACUCGGAAAAGAAAAUCAGAUCAGAAGCACGUGACGCCUGCAGAAGAAACGGCGAUGUGCCCUCAAAAACAAAAAGAAAAAGAAACGGAUCUUGUGCUUGAAGCCUCCGUCUUCUAUGUCCACCUUGGUGAGCUUGGCGCGGUGAUCGUCGUCCACUCCGCGGCCGCCGCCCGCUUCUUGAUCUUGGCCUCCUCCGCGGCUUCAUCCGCGGCCGCCAUGCCGAUGAGAUGACGCACCUGCUCCAUGACGGUGGCCAGCCCCGGGACGUGCUGCUCGAGCAGUUUCAGGGUGUUGGGGCCGUCGCCCUCCAGCGCGGCCACCAUCUCCCGCAGCUCCCGCGGCGAUCGCGCCGCCAGGUACCGCGUGAUGGAGUCGAGUGGCGGCGUCCCAGCAACGAGGGACGCGGCGUGGAUGGCGUCCUCCAGGGCGACGGCCUCGUCGUCGCCCCUGUGGCGGCGGCGCCGGCCGGCGAGGCCGACGCGGAGCUCGCGGCCGCGCAGGGGGUGGGCGUUGAGGUUGUGGAGGCGCUGCACGCCGUCUCGUCGUCGGGGUACUCCACGAAGGCGUACCCCUUGCGCUUGCCGGUGGCCGGGUCGGCGGCGAGGCGCAGGAAGCGGAUGGGGCCGAUCAGCUCGCAGGCGUCGCGGAGCUCCUUCUCGGAGGCGUGGAACGGGAUGUUGCCGACGAACACGACGCGGCUGCAGCGGCAGUUGGCUGCGGCGGCCGCCAGGGACAGGGAAGUAGACAUGCUGCCGUCCAUGCGUGGAUCGAUCGAUGGAUGGUGCGGGGAGGAGAGCGAGCGCGCGCACGCGCUCGCUUAUAAUUUAUAAAGCCAGGCAGCUGGCGAGUCGAGUCGGAGUCGAUAUGGCGGUAAUGGUCUAAUGGAUGACGGCAGCCGGCGAUUCGAGCUCCAGUCGGAGUCCGCCCGAGAGUGACCAAGGCCAUGGCCAUCGCAAACCCCCCGCCUCUGCGGCGGCGGUGUUCACCCGCGUCAACGGCGCCUAGCCCGUCGACAAGCAACUCAGUGACGUGUUCCGGCUCGCCUACGAUACGCCGGCUGCAGCCGCGCCGGGGCGGCUUGCUGCCGGGGACGCGCAGCAGAAGUGGCUCGCGUUCCAGCCGUGCGCUGCGACAUAACAGACCGCGACGUCGACACGGCACGGCAGGGCACGGCACGACACGGGAGGAACCCACCAAGAUCGCCGCGGCGUGCUCCCACCGGGCCGGCAUGCGGGCAGCGCGCGGCGCGGCCGCCGACCGGUGCGAGGGCGACCCGCGCGGACUUGGACAAGCGAGGAAAGGUGGGGAAGGGGCCCUUUUUGCAAUUGUGCUUGUCAAUCUCGGCCGGUCAAGUCCGAUCCAGCGGUUAAUAUAGGACCAGGGGUGGACGGUAUUUGAUUUACCGUCCGCCCCUGGGUGGUCCGCUGCCCGCCUGGCCGCUAUCGUCGACGGCAAAUCCCGCCUCGUGCUCCUUUGUACGGCUCCUCCGACCCGGAACGGGAAGUCAAUGCUCGCCAAGGCUCUCUCCCACGAUACGGCGGCGGGAUUCAGGAGCCUUCAUUUGCGAUGUGGUCGUUGUUGCGGUGGUGCGGUUCGACGCCGACGGCGAGAUGCGGCGCGUUUCUCGCCGCGACUGGACGGCGCGUUCAGGCGCAACGCGGACCUGGCGGCGCGGCAAGACAGAAAGAGCGCCGCCGAGAUCGCCGCGGUUCUUUUCGAGGAGUCGGCAUGAGGCGGUGCGCGCGGCGACAGGCGACCCGCGCCGAGCCAGCAGGUUGGGAACGGGGCUCAUUUCCUUUGCAACAGCCGAUCCCACCCGCUCAAGCCCGAUCCGACGGUCGCGAGGGACGCAGGGGUUGGACGGUAUUUCAUUUACCGUCCACCAUGGGGUGCCUCGGCUCCCUGGCGCGCUCGCCUCGCUCUCGCUGGCGAUCCCACCGGGCUCGUUGGCGACAGAACACGCCUUCGUGGCCUUCGCCGCUAGCUUCUCGACACUUUCUCUCGGGCAUCUUCUGCUGCACAGGAUCUCGGACGCGCUCGUCGGCGUGCUGCCCCGUGGACGUCGGCUCGGCCGUGUCACGCACGCCUUGUCAUGCAGCUAGCAACGUUGUGCGGCUGUACACCGAGCUGGCGCGCGCGUCGGCCCGCAUCGUGCUCCUUUAUUAUUCUUGCCGCGGUUCGACGCCGACGGCGAGGUGCGGCGCGUGCUGAUGGACCUACUCGCCGCGGACACCUGGGCGGCGUUCCAAGGCAAAGUGGUCGACGUGCUCGUGAUCGUGGCUGCGAUCAUCCGUGCGGACGCGCUGGACCCAGCGUUGCUGCAGGCCUGCAGCCGGGGGCAGUGUCACGCAUUGUCAUGCAGUACAUCAACAUUGUGCUGCCGACUGCUGUACACCGAACUGGCGCGCGCGUCGGCAAGGCGCCGCGCCGCCCGCGUCGUGCUCCUUUAUUCUCGCCGCAGCAGGACAAGCUGGCGCCCAGGACCUCCGUUCUCCAAGCCUGUGGUUUGACGGCGGCGCGGCGGACAAGUUGCGCGUGCGCGGGGGCAUGGCAACGAGCCGCGAGGACACGCUGGACCGCAGCGUACGCGGCGAGGAUGAGCCUGGAUAGAAUAUAGAUCAAUCUGGAGCCGCGUCCUCGUCGGUCCUCGUCGCCCGGACUCCCAGAGGUCGCUUGUGUUGUGUGUGCUCCUGCUUGCAAACCCACCAACUUUCCGGCCGGCCCAUUGGGAAUGGCAGCCCAGCCGCCGGCAGCAUGUGAGCGGCCCGUGCGCCUAUGCAUGUUAACGCGCCUAGCACAAGGGGCGGCCAACAUUUCAGGUGAUGCGGGGGAGAACAAAUCAACUGUCUUUGCACUGCCACAAUUAAGCCUGGUAACGGGCCUUAUAUACCAAGGGCCGUGAGGUCUCCAAGCUGUGAUUUACUAAUCCUAUACAGGCUCUUGUAAAGAAGGGUCGAAUCGAAUCAGACUGCUUGUUAAAAGAGUUAGAUUAUAGCUGUGGCUCAAGCCCAACAUGUGGAUCGUGAGAAGGACCGAAUCGAAUCGGACUGCUUGUUAAAAGGAUUGGAUUGUAGCUGUGGCUCGAGUCCAACAUGUGGAUCGUGAGUUAUAGGGCUGGCCUGCGGAUCGCCCACAAUUAACAACAACAGGUACGGUGGACUGUAAAGCCCAAAACAUCACUUCAUUCGUCUCGUCUCAAGCGACGGCUGCUUCUUUGUACUACUACUACUGUUAGCAGAAAGACAGCUAGCACAUUUCGUACUUACACUUACACAUGGUCAAUCGGUAAGAUACAAAUGUUUUCCAGGAUAUAAUGCGGCACCAUGUACGUGCGCAUCAUUUAUUUAAUUUUAUCUUAUCUCAUUUUCGUUAAGUACUGCUCCCUCCGUUUCAAAUUAUAGGUCGUUUGACUUUUCUAGAUGUAUAAUAUUAUUAUGCAUAUAGACAUAGGGUAUAUCUAAAUACAUAACAAAGUUUAUGAAUCUAAGAAUGUCAAAACGACCUAUAAUUUGGAACGGAGUGAGUAGUAGUACGGUCUAGGUACGUGGCACACAUGCUGGAUCUCGAUUAGGUAGAGAUGAAUAGGUUUUCAGGCUUUGCCAUCUUUCUUCCACGGGAAAUCUUGAGAACAAUCGGGAAUCUAAGAAUGUCAAAACGAUCUAUAAUUUGGAACGGAGUGAGCGGUAGUAUGGUCUAGGUACGUGGCACACAUGCUAGAUCUCGAUUAGGUAGAGAUGAAUAGGUUUUCAGGCUCUGCCAUCUUUCUCCCCGCGGGAAAUCUUGAGAACAGCCGGGAUGUGGGUGUCCAGCAAAUACAAUUCCCAAUUGACGCAGUUGGGAUCGAAGUUACAUAUGUAGCCGUCACCCUGGCUGGCGCCUGACGUCCUCCCCAGCUUCCUCAGGUUCGUGUCAUCAAAGCUUCACAAAGAAUCAAUUUAAGAGAGGGCAAAAAGUUAAUCAGUACUCUCACAAGUAAUCCAAGGACUCAUCCGACACACUUUCCUUAAUUUUCUUAACAAUGGAGGAAGUGUAUGUUGAGCUGCUGUUUAAAUUUGUCUGUGGGAUUGAUUAACGUUCUUUUUGUUGGAAAUUUUUCAUUGCUGCACCGCGUGACAAGAUUUUGCAUAUUCUAUCUGUAACCUUUUGAAAGAUGCAAUGUACUGUAUAAGCGUAGGUUCAGGCUUUAUCGACCUACAUUCAAAUUAACGUGUAAAUUAAAACGGAACCACAAUACACUAUUAGAACAAAAGAUGUUUUAGAAUAAUUUUCCUAAAUCUCACCAUGCCUUGAAGAAGGCAAACGGGGCAUACAGCUUGGCCAGAAUCAUGAAGUAAUUGUAAUUUCGGUUGAUCAGCUUGUUGUGGAACUCCGUGAACAACCCACCAAGUACUAAGUUCACCAGCACGGGCAGCUCGAUGAAAUGUUGUUUGUUCGUGGCGUGCGUGUUCGUUGCCGCCGAGAUUGAGGAGUGCCGACGCCGUCGCAGUUCGACGCCGACGGCUACGAUUAUUCCUGCCCAGCGUCCAACUUCGAGAUUGAGGUGCUCGUGCUGCCCACGCCGUGGUGGUGCAUUGGCGCUUCAGCUUCAUCCCCUGCAUCUCCUCGCAGAUCCACCCGCAUGGCGGCGCCGGCACCCAGCUCACCCGAGGUUUGCUGCGGCAGGGUCCGCUGUGGCUGUUCUCAUGAUGCACGAAUUUCUCCCCAAUCAUCCGCAGCACGUCCGACACCCCAAUCUCGCAAAAUCCAACGAAAAUAAAUCCCUGUCGGUGGCGGUACGUUAUUAGAAAAUAAUAAAAAAAAGACUUGCUCAAGAAAUAAAUGUGACACUCGCUAGUGAAUGGGAUAGGUAACAUGGCCAUCGAUGACUCCCGUCCUGGCACGUACGUAUAGCUAGUAACAUCGGUUGCGCACAGCGCACGUAUUCUCUCCUUUUACUUCCAAGUGUAUACAAACGGCAAGAAUGGAACUCGGGCGCACGCGGCAAGUAAUUAAACAUAUAUGGGGAAGGACGAAGGACACGAGGUACUAAUGUUUUAUGUGCUGAAACAACUCGAGUAAAGCACAAACAUGCAAGUAGGAUAUCAUCUUUUAUUUUAUUCUAUAUCUUUUUCCUUUUCUUUUACAACCAUGUCCUUGGUACAUACCGUUUAUACUUCAUAUCUAAAAAUAGCUCGAUUUAGAAGGUAACGCUUGUAAAGUACAAUAUAAAUUGUUUAUACUACCUCCAUUCGUUUAUAUAUGACGCUGGCUUGCUCAAAAUUAAACUGAUCAACGUCAUAUAUAAAUGAAUUAAGGAAUAUAUAAGUAGCUAGGUUUAUUCAAGCCUUUGCAUGAGUUUUCCACCCAACCACCGCCAUAUAGUGCAAUAUCAUGAUAGCAAGGACCUCCUUCGCGCAAAGAUCAACC